rnacentral:rRNA from 1 species
CAGUCGAGCGAACCACUUCGGUGGGAAGCGGCGAACGGGUGAGUAACACGUAGGUGAUCUGCCCAUCAGACGGGGACAACGAUUGGAAACGAUCGCUAAUACCGGAUAGGACGAAAGUUUAAAGAUGCUCCUGGCAUCACUGAUGGAUGAGCCUGCGGCGCAUUAGCUAGUUGGUGGGGUAAAGGCCUACCAAGGCGACGAUGCGUAGCCGACCUGAGAGGGUGAACGGCCACACUGGGACUGAGACACGGCCCAGACUCCUACGGGAGGCAGCAGUAGGGAAUCUUCGGCAAUGGGCGAAAGCCUGACCGAGCAACGCCGCGUGAAUGAAGAAGGCCUUCGGGUUGUAAAAUUCUGUUAUAAGGGAAGAAAGGUGACAGGAGGAAAUGACUAUCAAUUGACGGUACCUUGUGAGAAAGCCACGGCUAACUACGUGCCAGCAGCCGCGGUAAUACGUAGGUGGCAAGCGUUAUCCGGAAUUAUUGGGCGUAAAGAGCGCGCAGGUGGUUAAUUAAGUCUGAUGUGAAAGCCCACGGCUUAACCGUGGAGGGUCAUUGGAAACUGGUUGACUUGAGUGCAGAAGAGGGAAGUGGAAUUCCAUGUGUAGCGGUGAAAUGCGUAGAGAUAUGGAGGAACACCAGUGGCGAAGGCGGCUUCCUGGUCUGCAACUGACACUGAGGCGCGAAAGCGUGGGGAGCAAACAGGAUUAGAUACCCUGGUAGUCCACGCCGUAAACGAUGAGUGCUAAGUGUUGGGGGUCGAACCUCAGUGCUGAAGUUAACGCAUUA